ACGCCGUGCCGAGCGGCGUUCGCGGCCUCGAAUGGGCCAGGCGGCGGGGGUGGUGCCGUGUCGGCGCAGCACCACCCCCGCACC
rnacentral:ncRNA from 1 species